rnacentral:rRNA from 1 species
GCCUACGGGAGGCAGCAGUGGGGGAUAUUGCACAAUGGGGGAAACCCUGAUGCAGCGACGCCGCGUGGGUGAAGAAGCGCCUCGGCGCGUAAAGCCCUGUCAGCAGGGAAGAAAAUGACGGUACCUGAAGAAGAAGCCCCGGCUAACUACGUGCCAGCAGCCGCGGUAAAACGUAGGGGGCGAGCGUUGUCCGGAAUGACUGGGCGUAAAGGGUGCGUAGGCGGCAUAAUAAGUUAGAAGUGAAAUACCCAGAGCUUAACUCGGGUGCUGCUUCUAAGACUGUUGAGCUUGAGUGCGGGAGAGGU